CACGAACGCUGGCGGCGUGCUUAACACAUGCAAGUCGAACGGUGGAAGGGAGCUUGCUCCCUGGAUCAGUGGCGAACGGGUGAGUAACACGUGGGCAACCUGCCCCAGACUUCGGGAUAACGCUUCGAAAGAGGUGCUAAUACCGGAUACGAACUCCUUGGGCAUCCUUGGAGUUGGAAAGUUUUUCGGUCUGGGAUGGGCCCGCGGCCUAUCAGCUUGUUGGUGAGGUAACGGCUCACCAAGGCGACGACGGGUAGCCGGCCUGAGAGGGCGACCGGCCACACUGGGACUGAGACACGGCCCAGACUCCUACGGGAGGCAGCAGUGGGGAAUAUUGCGCAAUGGGCGAAAGCCUGACGCAGCAACGCCGCGUGAGGGAUGACGGCCUUCGGGUUGUAAACCUCUUUCAGCAGGGAAGAAGCGAAAGUGACGGUACCUGCAGAAGAAGCACCGGCUAACUACGUGCCAGCAGCCGCAGUAACAC
rnacentral:rRNA from 1 species